GGUGGAAUGGCCGAGCGGUCUAAGGCGGAGGAUUUAAGUAUUUUCUUGAACUCCUCUUCUCGAGAGAGAGCGUGGGUUCGAACCCCACUUCCAUCA